UUGCGGUCCCGGAUCCGAUUCCCGGACCACGCCUGGCUGAGGGUCGUUCAA
rnacentral:rRNA from 1 species